rnacentral:tRNA from 2 species
GGAGUCUUAGCUCAGUGGUAGAGCGAAGGAUUGCAGAUCCUUAGGUCGCCGGUUCGAUCCCGGCAGGCUCCU